rnacentral:rRNA from 1 species
GGACGAACGCUGGCGGCGUGCUUAACACAUGCAAGUCGAACGGAAAGGCCCUGCUUUUGUGGGGUGCUCGAGUGGCGAACGGGUGAGUAACACGUGAGUAACCUGCCCUUGACUUUGGGAUAACUUCAGGAAACUGGGGCUAAUACCGGAUAGGAGCUCCUGCUGCAUGGUGGGGGUUGGAAAGUUUCGGCGGUUGGGGAUGGACUCGCGGCUUAUCAGCUUGUUGGUGGGUUAGUGGCUUACCAAGGCUUUGACGGGUAGCCGGCCUGAGAGGGUGACCGGCCACAUUGGGACUGAGAUACGGCCCAGACUCCUACGGGAGGCAGCAGUGGGGAAUAUUGCACAAUGGGCGGAAGCCUGAUGCAGCAACGCCGCGUGCGGGAUGACGGCCUUCGGGUUGUAAACCGCUUUCGCCUGUGACGAAGCGUGAGUGACGGUAAUGGGUAAAGAAGCACCGGCUAACUACGUG